rnacentral:rRNA from 1 species
UACGGGGGGAGCAAGCGUUGUUCGGAUUUACUGGGCGUAAAGGGCGCGUAGGCGGCCACCGCAAGUCGACUGUGAAAUCUCCGGGCUUAACCCGGAAAGGUCAGCCGAUACUGCGGGGCUAGAGUGCAGAAGGGGCAACUGGAAUUCCCGGUGUAGCGGUGAAAUGCGUAGAUAUCGAGAGGAACACCUGCGGCGAAGGCGGGUUGCUGGGCUGAUACUGACGCUGAUGCGCGAAGGCUAGGGGAGCGAACGGG